AACGAACGCUGGCGGCAUGCCUAACACAUGCAAGUCGAACGAGACCUUCGGGUCUAGUGGCGCACGGGUGCGUACCGCGUGGGAACCUGCCCUUAGGUUCGGAAUACCUCCCCGAAAGGGGUGCUAAUACCGGAUAAUGUCUUCGGACCAAAGAUUUAUCGCCUUUGGAUGGGCCCGCGUUGGAUUAGCUGGUUGGUAGGGUAAAAGCCUACCAAGGCGACGAUCCAUAGCUGGUCUGAGAGGAUGAUCAGCCACACUGGGACUGAGACACGGCCCAGACUCCUACGGGAGGCAGCAGUGGAGAAUAUUGGACAAGGGGCGAAAGCCUGAUCCAGCAAUGCGGCGGGAGUGAUGAAGGCCUUAGGGUUGUAAAGCUCUUUUACCCGGGAUGAUAAUGACGGUACCGGGAGAAUAAGCUCCGGCUAACUCCGUG
rnacentral:rRNA from 1 species